rnacentral:rRNA from 1 species
UACGGAGGGGGCUAGCGUUGUUCGGAAUUACUGGGCGUAAAGCGCGCGUAGGCGGACCUGCAAGUCGGGGGUGAAAGCCCGAGGCUCAACCUCGGAACUGCCUUCGAUACUGCGGGUCUCGAGUCCGGGAGAGGUGAGUGGAAUUCCUAGUGUAGAGGUGAAAUUCGUAGAUAUUCGCAAGAACACCAGUGGCGAAGGCGGCUCACUGGCCCGGCAUUGACGCUGAGGCGCGAAAGCUAGGGGAGCAAACGGG